rnacentral:tRNA from 1 species
GCCGGUAUGAUGAAAGUGGUAAACAUGUAGGUUUGAAACGCUUAUGACAAUCGUCUUACGGGUUCGAAUCCCGUUACCGGCACCA